AUAGGGUUUUCACGCCGCCUCUUGUUUUUCUUCUUCUCCCAGAUCUGAACUCGGUUCGCUGAAAAAAGAAGCUGAAGAUAAGUUUAAUCAAUCAGUGGCCGGGAAACAACAAAUGGCUUCUGAUAAAUGUAAAAGUAGUGGAUUUGUAUUUACUUGUCCAAAAAAAAAUGUAAGAAAUUCCAUCCAUACAGAAUCAAUUUUCAGUCAUGGUGAACAAGAGUAGCAGUGGCAGGAAGAGUAGUAGUGGCAGGAAUGGUGGCGGCGGCGGCAAUGGUUAUAAAGGAGUGAGAAUGAGGAAAUGUGGGAAAUGGGUAUCUGAGAUAAGGUGGACUAGGAAUGCUCGAAGAUGCUAUUGCGCCUGACAGUACUAGUGGUGGCAGCUGCGACACAUUCUAUCAGCUGGAUGAUCCAUAUUUUUGUUGGACAUACUGAUGCAAUCUUCCAACCUUCGGUUAUUCAAGUCACCUAGUAUUUUGAUAAUAUUUUAGUAGAAAAAUGCACCAGAUUUGAAUGAUGCAUCCUUGUAGUAUUUAUAAUAAGGUGGCAUUUGUCAUCAUGUAAUAAAUGAGUAGCAGAGAUGGAGAAAAUCUUGAAUUCUGUACUGCAAGAACAAUCUAGAAUGGUCUUGAGUUCUCUGGAGGAAGCAUAGAGGAGGAGAUGACAAAACAAAAAGGAGUUGGACUAAGACCGGGGAUGCUGAUUAGCGAAUUGGUGCAACUUGUGAACAUAUACCCCUUUUAAAACUGGCCCUUGGACCAACAUUUUUCAUUUCAAUAAAACUCAGUGUCAUCUAACCAUGGUUGGUCUUGAAAAGUUAGGACUAACCCUGGUCAGGAGAGGAUAUGCUUAUCUUCAUCUGUCUCUCUCAACUAUUUCACCCAACUCUGGUAGGUGGAACUCAUUGAAGUGAGUCUUUAUUUGUUUGGUUUGGGUUUUGAAAACAAGGAUCAAGCAGUUCAAUCUUUAGCUCCACUCUUGUAUUUUCAAGCUCACUCUGGGCAACAAAACACAAAUGGGUUGUUGUUGUUGUAAUUUGGAAACUGGGUUUGUAUGGGAUUGUGGUGGAGGUGGAGGAAACAAACCCCUUUGAAUGUCAUAAUGACUUGUCCUCUCGAAAUAUUUUUAUCUAUGAGGCCGAAUAAUCUAUAUUUUUCCGGGAAAAGUCGUGAAGAUCCAAGAGGAGAUGAAAACUCAGCAGCAGCUGAUUGCAACAUGCUGUUCAGGAAAAUGGUGCUGGAGAUAUUUAAGUUUAAGCUCACAACUAGUAGCAUACUACUGGAUUCAUCUCUUUCUGUUAUGGUAACCCACUGUGAUUUUUCCUCUCAAACUUACUCCCAAACCUGAACUUGUAAGAAUCAUGGUUAUGAUUUAUGCUUUGUCAAAAGAUCUCUGGAAGAAUCAAAUUUUAUUUUUUGCACAUUUCCAUUAUGUUUCCUGCAGUGACUAUUAUGCUCUCAAACUUGGCGCUUGCCCUCCUUGUAUGUA